CCCGGGGCGCGAGCCCGGGCGGAGCGGCCGUCGGUGCAGAUCUUGGUGGUAGUAGCAAAUAUUCAAAUGAGAACUUUGAAGGCCGAAGAGGAGAAAGGUUCCAUGUGAACGGCACUUAGACAUGGGUAAGCCGAUCCUAAGGGACGGGGUAACCCCGGCAGAUAGCGCGAUCACGCGCAUCCCCCGAAAGGGAAUCGGGUUAAGAUUUCCCGAGCCGGGAUGUGGCGGUUG
rnacentral:ncRNA from 1 species